rnacentral:lncRNA from 1 species
CUGAAGUAUGGAUGGACAGGAACUCAUCUUACGUACAUGUACUCUUACACCAAAAACCUCAACGAAACAAGGUGAACAUGGCCUUACCAAAGACAGCUCACACGUCAAUAUCGGCUGUAAAGCGUGUGGCAUCAGCGACAAUGUGGAUAUUCUUUCCUGCCAGAAGCACACAUGGAUGGCUGAAAUUACUCCCUAAGAUGGGGGUAUGGCCGUUGAGGAUCGUAAAGAUCGAUGGGUAACACUCCUAGAAAGUGUCUCGCCUUGUCUCUGGGUUGACCCUGAAGCAGUGCCCAGCCCAACAAUGAGCAAUAUGAUCAUCUACCAGAGUUAGGCCUAAAAAAGGGCAGGAAAUUACCAAAUACUGUCUCCACUUUUAGGAAAAUGAUAAAGGAAAAGGAGUAAAGACUCCUGGCAUGAGAAAUUGGAUUCAUCUACGUUUUGCUGAUGUUUUAUAAUAAAUGAACUUUUCAUUAAUGAGUUUUUGUUUGUUUGUUUAUUUUUUAGCAUCCUAUAGCUAGACUCUGAGUCUUUGAGAAAGGCAAGAAAAGAAAUGGAACCAUGCUGAAUUAUAUUUCCUCUUCUAAGAUUUGGGACCAAUUCCAGAUUAUUCAAACUACAAUAGCCUUUUUUUUUUUUUUUUUUUUUUUUUUUUUCAGGGAUCCACAAAUCCCACCUGAGCCUCUUGAUACCUUCCCAUCCUUGAAGAGAGGCUCUUAUCAACCUGAAGAUUUGACCCAUGUUACUGGAGGAAGGAGAUGGAGCAUGCUUUCUGUGCUGCAGUUGCUGGCCAACAGUUACAACCUUCCUAGAAGAUAUUGA